rnacentral:lncRNA from 1 species
AAUCACUACGGGCUACAAGCUGUCUUCUCUGGGCCACAUUCAGCCCGUGGGCCGUGUGUUGUGCACCCCUGCACGGGUAACAGGUCAUCAUUCUUUUCCCACACAUCACAGUGAACCAGAUUGAGGCCAAUCUACCUGAUGCGUCCAGAGGACGUGGAAGGAGACGGGGGUUCGUAGAUUACAUCAUCCUAAUGGACUGGUUCAGCUCUGUUACUGCCUCAAACUGGGAAGCACCUUACAAAGCCUCAAAGAUGCUCUCUACAAGGUAACAUAACAUAGGAUGUGUGUUCCCUGCAAUGCUUCCUCAGUCAGUGUGUUUCCAUUGAGGUAAUGUGUGUUUCCAUAGAGGUAAUGUGUGUUUCCAUCGAGGUAAUGUGUGUUUCCAGAGGUUAUGUGUUUCCUAAGUCAGUGUGUUUCAUUGAGGUAAUGUGUGUUUCCAUUGAGGUAAUGUGUGUUUCCAUUGGUCUGUGGUUUCCAUUGAGGUUAAUGUGUGUUCAUUGAGGGUAAUGUGUGUUUCUAAGCAGUGUGUGUUUCAUUGAGGUAAUGUGUGUUUCCAUUGAGGUAAUGUGUGUUUCAUUGAGGUAAUGUGUGUUUCCAUUGAGGUAAUGUUUGUGUUUCCUAAGUCCGUGUGUUUUCAUUGAGGUAAUGUGUGUUUUCAUUGAGGUAAGUGUGCUUCCAUUGAGUAAUGUGUGUUUCCAUUGGGUAAUGUGUGUUCCAUUGAGGUAGUGUGUUCCAUUGAGGUAAUGUGUGUUCCAUGAGGGAAUGUGGUUUCUUGAGUAUUGUGUGCUUCACAGUGGGACAGUCACUAUCCUGCGUAGUGAGCCCAUGGUUCUGGAGGGGGCUAUGAGAGCUGCUCCUUCUACCCCAUGUACACAUCCACGCCAAGGGCAGACGCCUCCGAACAC